UAGUCCACGCCGUAAACGAUGAUCACUCGAUGUCAGCGAUAUACUGUUGGUGUCUUAGCGAAAGUGUUAAGUGAUCCACCUGGGGAGUACGUUCGCAAGAAUGAAACUCAAAGGAAUUGACGGGGGCCCGCACAAGCGGUGGAGCAUGUGGUUUAAUUCGAUGAUACGCGAGGAACCUUACCUGGGCUUAAAUGUAGAGUGCUUUUACUGGAAACAGUAUUUUCUUCGGACGCUCUACAAGGUGCUGCAUGGCUGUCGUCAGCUCGUGCUGUGAGGUGUCGGGUUAAGUCCCAUAACGAGCGCAACCCCUAUCUCUAGUUGCUAGCAGGUCAUGCUGAGGACUCUAGAGAGACUGCCGGUGCAAACCGUGAGGAAGGUGGGGAUGACGUCAAGUCAGCACGGCCCUUACGUCCAGGGCUACACACGUGCUACAAUGGUAGGUACAGAGGGCAGCUACAUGGCAACAUGAUGCUAAUCUCG
rnacentral:rRNA from 1 species